GGCCAACUAACCAUGACCCUGGGAACUUGACGGACGUUGGCGUCCUCGGGGCCUGGACCGUCUACAAGCGCCACGAGUUCAGCCUGAAACCAGGUGUUAGAAGGCAUCAUCAAAACUGAUUCGUCAUACCAGUACCCAUACAUUCGGAAGGGAUAAAGCAAGAUAGUUAAAUUACCCGAGCCACAUGGAAUUGAAUUUGUCAUGAUCAACAUUGCUGC